ensembl:lncRNA
CUUCACCCUCCUGCCGUCUGGAAAAAGCAGAUAAGCUUAUCUUCUGAAUACUACGCCUUUAUAUUGGAAGAAGAACAGAACAGCUUUACAGGACAGGUGCUCCACAUUUUCAAUGCAGAAAGAAGAGGAAGAGGAAGAGACAGUCAGAAGUAAGCCAUAUGGGAACAUCAGUCUGUCUAUAGCAUCCCGUACGUCUCCCUUGGGCUGUGGGCCUCUUUUUGAACACCAGCGUGAAAGCGGAAACACCUGAUGCAAGCCGGCCUCUCUCAUGGUUGGAAAAGCCGUCCUGUUGUAUUUUUCUUAAUGAAUGUAGGAUACAUUCUAU